GUAAGCUGGAUGAACGCAGGCUCUGGGCGAAAGCCCUUGUCUGAGGAAAGUCCGGGCUCCGCAGGGCAGGAUGCCGGCUAACGGCCGGUGAGGGCGACCUUAAGGAUAGUGCCACAGAAAUAAACCGCCGCCUUUAGGGCGGUAAGGGUGCAACGGUGCGGUAAGAGCGCACCAGCAGCCGGGAGACCGGCUGGCUAGGUAAACCCCAUCCGGAGCAAGACCGUAUAGAGAGGCUGGAAAGCGGCCCGCUUAGUUUCUCGCAGAGGUUGCUUGAGCCCAUUGGCAACAAUGAGGCCAGACAGAUGUUCAUCCACGACAGAACCCGGCUUAUAGGCUUGCUCA
rnacentral:RNase_P_RNA from 1 species